rnacentral:rRNA from 1 species
UACGGAGGGUGCGAGCGUUGUCCGGAUUUAUUGGGUUUAAAGGGUGCGUAGGUGGCUGCUUAAGUCAGUGGUGAAAUACAGCCGCUCAACGGUUGAGGUGCCAUUGAUACUGAACAGCUUGAAAUAAUUGGAGGCUGCCGGAAUGGAUGGUGUAGCGGUGAAAUGCGUAGAUAUCAAGAGGAACACCUGAGGUGAAGACGGGUUGCUGGGCCGACACUGACGCUGAGUGCGCGAAAGCCAGGGGAGCAAACGGG